GACGAACGCUGGCGGCGUGCUUAACACAUGCAAGUCGAACGGAAAGGCCCUGCUUUUGUGGGGUGCUCGAGUGGCGAACGGGUGAGUAACACGUGAGCAACCUGCCCUUGACUUUGGGAUAACUUCAGGAAACUGGGGCUAAUACCGGAUAGGAGCUCCUGCUGCAUGGUGGGGGUUGGAAAGUUUCGGCGGUUGGGGAUGGACUCGCGGCUUAUCAGCUUGUUGGUGGGGUAGUGGCUUACCAAGGCUUUGACGGGUAGCCGGCCUGAGAGGGUGACCGGCCACAUUGGGACUGAGAUACGGCCCAGACUCCUACGGGAGGCAGCAGUGGGGAAUAUUGCACAAUGGGCGGAAGCCUGAUGCAGCAACGCCGCGUGCGGGAUGACGGCCUUCGGGUUGUAAACCGCUUUCGCCUGUGACGAAGCGUGAGUGACGGUAAUGGGUAAAGAAGCACCGGCUAACUACGUGCCAGCAGCCGCGGUGAUACGUAGGGUGCGGGCGUUGUCCGGAUUUAUUGGGCGUAAAGGGCUCGUAGGUGGUUGAUCGCGUCGGAAGUGUAAUCUUGGGGCUUAACCCUGAGCGUGCUUUCGAUACGGGUUGACUUGAGGAAGGUAGGGGAGAAUGGAAUUCCUGGUGGAGCGGUGGAAUGCGCAGAUAUCAGAAGGAACACCAGUGGCGAAGGCGGUUCUCUGGGCCUUUCCUGACGCUGAGGAGCGAAAGCGUGGGGAGCGAACAGGCUUAGAUACCCUGGUAGUCCACGCUGUAAACGGUGGGUACUAGGUGUGGGGUCCAUUCCACGGGUUCCGUGCCGUAGCUAACGCUUUAAGUACCCCGCCUGGGGAGUACGGCCGCAAGGCUAAAACUCAAAGGAAUUGACGGGGCCCCGCACGAGCGGCGGAGCAUGCGGAUUAAUUCGAUGCAACGCGUAGAACCUUACCUGGGUUUGACAUGGAUCGGGAGUGCUCAGAGAUGGGUGUGCCUCUUUCGGGGUCGGUUCACAGGUGGUGCAUGGCUGUCGUCAGCUCGUGUCGUGAGAUGUUGGGUUAAGUCCCGCAACGAGCGCAACCCUUGUUCACUGUUGCCAGCACGUUAUGGUGGGGACUCAGUGGAGACCGCCGGGGUCAACUCGGAGGAAGGUGGGGAUGACGUCAAGUCAUCAUGCCCCUUAUGUCCAGGGCUUCACGCAUGCUACAAUGGCUGGUACAGAGAGUGGCGAGCCUGUGAGGGUGAGCGAAUCUCGGAAAGCCGGUCUCAGUUCGGAUUGGGGUCUGCAACUCGACCUCAUGAAGUCGGAGUCGCUAGUAAUCGCAGAUCAGCAACGCUGCGGUGAAUACGUUCCCGGGGCU
rnacentral:rRNA from 1 species